AGACUGUCGCCAGCCCUUUGGGGCAUGUGCAUGUCCCUGCCCCCCUGCCUUCAAAGCCUUGAACUUCUCAACACCUGUGUGCACCUGUUGUAGGUCCUUUGGGAUCUAUGUCUUCUCUUUCAAACUCACAUGUAUGUCUACAGAAUGUAUGCAUCACAUCAGCGAUGGCAGACCUUGUACAACUUUCAGCAAUGGAUCUCUUGGCUCUCACAUUGAUGAAGGAUGCAGCAAAUCGUGAUAAGUAAUGUGAAUUGCAGAUUUUCUGUGAAUCAUCAAAUCUUUGAACACACCUUGCACUCCUCAGAAUUCUGAGGAGCAUGCCUGUUUGAGUGUCAUCAAAAUCUCGAACCAAAGUCUUUCGACCCUGUCGGAGCUCAGUUUCAGAUGUUGGGAGUGUGUGGGCGGCAACAUUGGCUCUCCUCAAAAGCAUUAGCUGUGGGCACAAGCCUCACAUGGCAUGGCUGCUUCAACGUCAUAAUGAUCGUUAUGGGCUGGAGUGCAUGGAUCAACAUGUUUCCCAUGCUUCACAACCUUCUGCAAGUUCGUCUGUCAUGUGGACGACCACACAUUGUGUCAAGGCUUGACCUCAAAUUAGGUAGGACUACCCGCUGAACUUAAGCAUAUCAAUAAGCGGAGGA
rnacentral:rRNA from 1 species